CGUUAAGUGUGAAAGCACUAUUUGGCAGAAGCUGCUUGCGGCCCAGUCUGCAGCCCUGCACAUACCCCUCCCGUCUCGAUUGACUCUCGAAACCCCUUUCGCUUAAAUGUACACAAAACACUUGGCCCUUCUUGUUCCCCGCUAAUCAUCGCUCCCUUUUACCUUUGCAUUUGAGGCGGCUGCAGCUCGGACUGUUCCAUAUCGGUAGUCUAGUGAUACAAAGUGCACGCCAUGACGCGUUAUUGUUGCUGUCGUCUUCAAAACAUAGAAAGGCUGCAAGUUUUUUUUUAAUUGGAGGCCGGAGGCGGGGGAGAGAAAUAAAUGCUGGAAGUCCGCCCAGUGGUUGCGAGCUGUAAGGACCGAGUCAUCAGCCAACACUGAGGCGCCUUUCUGCUACCGGGGCGGCCAUCUUGGGACCGGUAUGUGGUAACUACGGCAACCGGCUACGGCCGGCAGAGGGCAGCAGAACGGACAGACAACAACUGAAAACACACUGCCUCCAGAAAAAUAAAACGAAUCGGCUGCCUACUUUUUCCAACCGUCAUGAGUUGUUUUUAUGUAAAUCGCCUCAAGAAGGGAAGCUUCCGCCGUUUCAAAAAUCAAAGUAAUUAACCUCCCAAGAAGUGUGGCUGGACUCGAAACGUUAAUUUUACGUCCCUCUCACCACAGAGGUUCCUAGAUCUGCUGAGUUUUCCCAGCAAUUUUUGUCAUUUAUUUCAUGUGUUAUAUCGUGAAUCAGCAAUAAACCGGUUGAAUGCUGAAACAGGCUUAAGGGGCUAAAUUCCCUAUGUCUGUCCCAAUGUUCCUAAAGCCGACAUAUUACUGUAAUAAAAGCAUAGUACUGCAGAUGCUGGAAAUCUCAAACAACAGAGAAUGUUGGAGAACCUUGGCAUGUCUGGUAGCAUCCACAAGAGAAACAAAAUUAACGUAGAGUCUUCAGAACAAUUCACAUUUAUUAAUAUAAAUUGUUUCUUGUUGUUCAUUUAGAUGUAACAACCCACAAUCCCAAGCCAAAUAACCAAACCAAUUAGCAGGCUUGAUUUUAACCCUAUCUGCUUGCUCAACAUAACCAUCCUUUUGAAUAUUUAACUUGUAGGGUAAUGUGGGAAAUAUAGCAGCCCAUUUAUACACAUCAUCUCCCAAAGACAGUAAUGCAAUAAUGAGUAGGUAAUCUGUUUUUUGUGAUGAUGACUGAGGGAUAAAUAUUGACCUGGAUCUACAAAAACACAAAAUUGGCAUAGAAGUAGACCAUUCAUCACCUCAGCAUUUCAUUUCUCAUUCAUCAGUCUGUUCUUCCUCAUUUUCAGAAGAGAGCACAGAAUAUCUGGGAGAGGCAGAAAAUCAGGCAUGUGUGUACAGUUAAUUCCAUCUUGACAGCUCUAGAGGAGGAGAAGAUAUUGUUAAUAAGUCAACUCCCAGCAUUGCUGAUCAUAGGAUAUGAAGAGGGGAGGGUUUCCAAGUUACCUGGUGACAGAAUUAUACAUUACACUGCUACAUGGCAACAACAUUCACUCACUCAUUGACUAAGAUAACAGCCAGUCACCUUGUCAGUUCUGAUUCAAGUUUUCCAUCUCUCACAGAAUGGAACGCUUUGCCUGCAACGGUAAUAGAUUCGCCAGCUUUAGGUACAUUUAAGUCAUCAUUGGAUAAGCAUAUGGACAUACAUGGAAUAGUGUAGGUUAGAUGGGCUUCAGAUUGGUAUGACAGGUCGGCAACAUUGAGGGCCGAAGGCCCUGUACUGUGCUGUAAUGUUCUAUGUUCUAUUUACUCAGGAGGAGAUACUUCACACUAUUUAUGAACCAUAGUGCAAUGUAUGCACCUUCUGUCAGCUCUUGUACACACUACUUGGUGCAAUCAAAGUUAAUUGGUUUAACAGAGGAUGAAUCAACACAACAGAUGAGUGGAACAGAUGGUGAAGAUGUAUUUAACAAUGGAGGUUCCUGUCAGAGCGCAGCCUUGUCCAAAUUCUGCUCUGUGUAGAAUAGACCCCUCUCAUAGACAGCUUGGGAUGCAAAUGCUGUCUCAAGCCAGCAAUGAGGAGGACGACUGUUCUGAACAGCAGCAUUAAAUGUUUGAGGUUCUGCCAGGUUUUGCAGAAGCCCCGCACAGGACUGGAGAAAAAUAGAAGUCAAUCUCCAUAUCCCAGUAGGCCAUGAGUUCUAAUUCAUGCACAGAGCAGCAGCAUGACAGAUUUCACUUGAUCUGCUGAUCUUUUUGUCCAGUAAAGAAUCUGGUCAUAAAGGGAACAAUGCACCUGCAUUGUGGAAACUGAUAUAACAAAGGGACCAUAGGACUGAGGAGCAUGCAAAAGGAAGUCGGGGACCCAUUUAUUUGGCCAGACGAAGUUAAAGGGGAAGGCUUUUGCUACCUUCAGGCUGCUAAUCAUUCAGAAACUUAGGAGUUGUGGGAGGUAGCCUAAUGUGCAGUUGUUAGCAGUCUCCAGGCAGUUAGGACUUGGAAGAGGUGUUGAGGAGCUAAGAAGAUAGUGGAAAGCCACAGAGCCUGUGUUGGAGAGAGAGGAGCAACAAAAGAAGGUGGCUUCAAAAGGUUAAAGUGCUGCAGUUGGUUUUGUUGAGCGGGCAGCUCAUUGAAGCUGCAUGGGAAAUUCGAUAGCUGAGAAGAGAGCAAAGGAAACCAAUGAGCAGUACUUGCUGAAAAAUUGAGGUUUGGAGAAACAUGGGAUCAGUGCCGACUUACCAAAGCAAGCUGCCUGAAAAGGAGAUAGUAGGAACUGCCAGUGCUGGAGAAUCAGAAAUGAUUUCUGAACAAGGGUCCAGAUCUGAAAUGUCAGCUUGCCUGUUGUUCUGAUGCUGCCUGGCCUGCUGUGUUGAUCCAGCUCUACACCUUGUUAUCUUUGCUUGAAAAAGAGCUGGAACUGUGCAAUCGGUAAGCGCUGGAGUUCAGCCCAAGAAUCCAAGGGAGCAUAAUCCUAGCAAAAGAGAUUGAGUUGUCAAGAAAUAAGCAGUUGUUAAGACAGACCAAGUUGUUAAGUCAGAUCAUGUAGAGUAGCAUUGAGGAACUUUCUAGGCUAGAUCUUUGGAAAUGAAGACCUAAAAUCCCUAGUGAAGGAGACAGUCUUAAUUGGUGGUGCAUGGUGUCACUGGCAUGUGGGUGGAUUCCUGAGAAAUCCAUGGGAUUUGCUUUGACUGUAACAGCUAUUUGUUAAGCUAUCGAGCAGUUUGUCUGUUAAUCCACAUUUACCUUGUGCUAAUUCC